CGAGCCUCAAGCAAGGGACUU
rnacentral:miRNA from 1 species